UCCUGCUUGCUCACUUACCAGAUGUGGGAUCUACUGGCGGUAUGACUGAAGAAGAUUCAGUAGACGGCCGUGUUGUAGUCGUACUAGUAGUAGUGGACGGAGUAUUUGGAGCUAAAGUUGUAGUUGUUGUAGGAGUGUCUGGAGCUACAGGAGUAGUUGUUGAAGGAGGAGUAUCUGGAGGUGGGCUAGAAGGAGUACGUGGAGCUGUAGUAGAAGUUGUGGAGGGAGUAUCUGGGGCUGCAGGAGUAGUUGUUGUAGAAGGAGUGUCUGGAGCUACAGGAGUAGUUGUUGGAGGGGGAGUAUCUGGAGGUGGACUAGAAGGUGCUGUAGAAGGAGCAUCUGGAGCUGGACUUGAAGUUGUUGCAGGAGGAGUAUCUGGAGCUACAGGAGAAGUUGCAGUAGAAGGAGUGUCUGGAGCUGGAGUAGAAGCAUCUGUUGGUACCAAAGGCCUACGAACGUGAAACGCAUUAAACCCACUGCUCCUUAUAGAAGAGAAUGAAGUCGACAUACGGUUCAGUAGGGUCAUCCCAGCCCUUCCCAGUGCAUCCUGCACUGGCAGCAUAAUCGCAAACAUCACUAGACGGA